GGGGUCUGGGGGCACCCAUGGGUGCUCCAAUGGGAUGAAUGAGGUCUGGGGGCACCCAUGGGUGCUCAUGUGCAAUAAAUGGGGUCUGGGGGCACCCAUGGGUGCUCCUAUGGGAUAAAUGGGAUCUGGGGGCACCCAUGGGUGCUCAUGUGCAAUAAAUGGGGUCUGGGGGCACCCAUGGAUGCUGCUAUGGGAUAAAUGGGGUCUGGGGGCACCUAUGGGUGCUCCUAUGGGAUGAAUGGGGUCUGGGGGCACCCAUGGGUGCUCAUGUGCAAUAACUGGGGUUUGGGGGCACCCAUGGGUGCUCCUAUGGGAUAAAUGGGGUCUGGGGUCACGCAUGGGUGCUGCUAUGGGAUGAAUGGGGUCUGGGGGCACCCAUGGGUUCUCUAAUGGGGUGAGUGGGGUCUGCAGCACUCAUGGGUGCCCCUAUGGGAUGAAUGGGGUCUGGGGGCACCCAUGGGUGCUCCUAUGGGAUGAAUGGGGUCUGCAGCACCCAUGGGUGCAGCUAUGGGAUGAGUGGGGUCUGGGGGCACCCGUGGGUGGUCCUGUGCAAUAAAUGGGGUCUGGGGGCACCCAUGGGUGCUCCAAUGGGAUAAAUGGGGUCAGGGGGCACCCAUGGGUGCUCAUGUGCAAUAAAUGGGGUCUGCUGCACCUAUGGGUGCUUCAGUGGGAUGAAUGGGGUCUGCAGGCACCCAUGGGUGCCCCUAUAGGAUGAAUGGGGUCUGGGGGCACCCAUGAGUGCUCAUGUGCAAUAAAUGGGGCCUGGGGGCACCCAUUGGUGCUGCUAUGGGAUGAAUAGGAUCUGGGUGCACCCAUGGGUGCUCCAAUGGGAUGAGUGGGGUCUGCAGCACCCAUGGGUGCCCCUAUGGGAUAAAUGGGAUCUGGGGGCACCCAUGGGUGCUCCAAUGGGUUAAAUGGGGUCUGGGGGCACCCAUGGGUGCUCCAAUGGGUUAAAUGGGGUCUGGGGCCACCCAUGGGUGCUCCUAUGGGUUGAGUGGGGUCUGCAGCACCCCUGGGUGCUCCAAUGGGAUAAAUGGGGUCUGGGGGCACCCAUGGGUGGUCCUGUGCAAUAAAUGGGGCCUGGGGGCACCCAUGGGUGCUGCUAUGGGAUGAUUGGGAUCUGCAGCACCCAUGGGUGCUCCAAUGGGAUAAAUGGGACCUGGGGGCACCCAUGGGUGCCCCUAUGGGAUGAAUGGGGUCUGGGGGCACCCAUGGGUGCUCGUGUGCAAUAAAUGGGAUCUGGGGUCACCCAUGGGUGCCCCUAUGGGAUGAAUGGGGUCUGGGGGCACCCAUGGGUGCUCAUGUGCAAUAAAUGGGGUCUGGGGGCACCCAUGGGUGCUCCAAUGGGAUGAGUGGGGUCUGCAGCACCCAUGGGUGCCCCUAUGGGAUAAAUGGGGUCUGCAGCACCCAUGGGUGCUCAUGUGCAAUAAAUGGGGCCUGGGGGCACCCAUGGGUGCUCCAAUUGGUUGAGUCCGGUCUGCAGCACCCAUGGGUGCUCCAAUGGGUUAAAUGGGAUCUGGGGGCACCCAUGGGUGCCCUUAUGGGAUAAAUGGGAUCUGGGGGCACCCAUGGGUGCUCCAAUGGGUUAAAUGGGAUCUGGGGGCACCCAUGGGUGCUGCUAUGGGUUGAAUGGGGUCUGGGGGCACCCAUGGGUGCUCAUGUGCAGUAAAUGGGAUCUGGGGGCACCCAUGGGUGCUCAUGUGCAAUAAAUGGGGUCUGGGGAAACCCAUGGGUGCUGCUAUGGGAUGAAUGGGAUCUGGGGGCACCCAUGGGUGCUCCAAUGGGAUGAGUGGGGUCUGCAGCACCCAUGGGUGCCCCUAUGGGAUGAAUGGGGUCUGGGGGCACCCAUGGGUGCUCCAAUGGGAUAAAUGGGGUCUGCAGCACCCCUGGGUGCUCCAAUGGGAUGAGUGGGGUCUGGGGGCACCCAUGGGUGCUCAUGUGCAAUAAAUGGGGUCUGCAGCACCCCUGGGUGCCCCUAUGUUGGAUGCGGGGUCCCCCGGGUGUCAUUUUUUGAGCCAAAUCCGUCCGAUUCCGCAUCUGCGACCGUCUUAAUCUUCAUCAGUUAUUAAUUAGCAUUAAUUAUUAGUUACGGGUUAUUCAUUGUUUAUUUCUGCAUGGGCGCCGCCCCCCGUUUUUUUGGGGGGGGUAAAAAAAAGGGAAAAAAAGGCCGUUUUUGGGGUUCCCUCCUCCGCUUCUGCACGGAAAUUUGGGGCAUAAAAGCCUUUCAGAUUGGGGGGUUUUGGGGU